AUGAACGCUGGCGGCGUGCCUCAUACCUGCCAGUCGAGCGAACAGACGAGGAGCUUGCUCCUCUGACGUUAGCGGCGGACGGGUGAGUAACACGUGGAUAACCUACCUAUAAGACUGGGAUAACUUCGGGAAACCGGAGCUAAUACCGGAUAAUAUAUUGAACCGCAUGGUUCAAUAGUGAAAGACGGUUUUGCUGUCACUUAUAGAUGGAUCCGCGCCGCAUUAGCUAGUUGGUAAGGUAACGGCAUACCAAGGCAACGAUGCGUAGCCGACCUGAGAGGGUGAUCGGCCACACUGGAACUGAGACACGGUCCAGACUCCUACGGGAGGCAGCAGUAGGGAAUCUUCCGCAAUGGGCGAAAGCCUGACGGAGCAACGCCGCGUGAGUGAUGAAGGUCUUCGGAUCGUAAAACUCUGUUAUUAGGGAAGAACAAAUGUGUAAGUAACUAUGCACGUCUUGACGGUACCUAAUCAGAAAGCCACGGCUAACUACGUG
rnacentral:rRNA from 1 species